ACUGGAUAUCAGCAGUAAGAAUGCAUGUAUCACACGCACAAUCAAAAUCAGUGUUUGGAUGUUACACGAGCUCCUCUAACAGAGGGGCGAAAUAUACCUAAGGGAAUUCAAAUUCAUAAAUAGAAAAUAAAAUAACAAAACCAUCGCUAGAAAAGAAAAGAAGACCAACAGACAAAUGAUAUUAAACAAAACACAACAUAGAAAACUAAAGACUAGCUGAGCAACACGAACGCAACCAAACACUGGGGAUGAUCUCAGGUGCUCCAGAAG
rnacentral:lncRNA from 1 species